rnacentral:miRNA from 1 species
UAGUGAGCUUAAGCAAGUGACGUUUUUGACAAUACGAACGGCAGAAGACUGGGUCAAGGGCUGUGAUUGGUGAAAAACGUCAACUUUACUUCCGGUCGACGUCCGUGUUGUCAAAAACGUCACUUGCUUAAGCUCACUA